CCAGACUCCUACGGGAGGCAGCAGUAGGGAAUUUUCGUCAAUGGGCGCAAGCCUGAACGAGCGAUGCCGCGUGAGUGAAGAAGGCCUUCGGGUCGUAAAGCUCUGUUGCGGGGGAAAAAAGGCAGCAUCAGGAAAUGGGUGCUGACUGAUGGUGCCCCGCCAGAAAGUCACGGCUAACUACGUGCCAGCAGCCGCGGUAAUACGUAGGUGGCGAGCGUUAUCCGGAAUGAUUGGGCGUAAAGGGUGCGCAGGCGGCAUGUCAAGUCUGAAGUGAAAGGUACGGGCUUAACCUGUACAGGCUUUGGAAACUGGCAUGCUAGAGGACAGGAGAGGGCGGUGGAACUCCAUGUGUAGCGGUAAAAUGCGUAGAUAUAUGGAAGAACACCAGUGGCGAAGGCGGCCGCCUGGACUGUUACUGACGCUCAGGCACGAAAGCGUGGGGAGCAAAUAGGAUUAGAUACCCCCGUA
rnacentral:rRNA from 1 species